UACGUAGGUGGCGAGCGUUGUCCGGAAUUACUGGGCGUAAAGGGUGCGUAGGCGGACAAUUAAGUCAGAUGUGAAAUUCCAGGGCUCAACCUUGGAACUGCAUUUGAAACUGGUUGUCUAGAGUGCAGGAGAGGAAAGCGGAAUUCCUAGUGUAGCGGUGAAAUGCGUAGAUAUUAGGAAGAACACCAGUGGCGAAGGCGGCUUUCUGGACUGUAACUGACGCUGAGGCACGAAAGCGUGGGGAGCAAACAGG
rnacentral:rRNA from 1 species